rnacentral:rRNA from 1 species
GAUGAACGCUGGCGGCGUGUUUAAGGCAUGCAAGUCGAAUGCACUUAGGGUGCAUGGCAGACGGGAGAGGAACACAUUGGUAACCUGCCCUCAAGAGAAGGAUAAUCUUCUGAAAAGAAGGAUAAUACUUCAUGUGCUGUGAACUAAAAAUAAUUCAUAGUAAAGAUUUAUCGCUUGAGGAGGGGCCUAUGACCUAUCAGCUUGUUGGUGAGGUAAAAGCUCACCAAGGCUAUGACGGGUACCGGGUGUGAGAGCAUGACCCGGCUCAAUGGGACUGAGACACUGCCCAU